rnacentral:misc_RNA from 1 species
GAUGAAGAACGGUAGCGAAAUGCGAUACGUAAUGUGAAUUGCAGAAUUCAGUGAAUCAUCGAGUCUUUGAACGCACAUUGCGCCCCCUGGUAUUCCGGGGGGCAUGCCUGUCCGAGCGUCAUUGCUGCCCUCAAGCACGGCUUGUGUGUUGGGCCUCCGUCCUCCUCCCGGGGGACGGGCCCGAAAGGCAGCGGCGGCACCGCGUCCGGUCCUCGAGCGUAUGGGGCUUCGUCACCCGCUCUUGUAGGCCCGGCCGGCGCUUGCCGACACAUCAAUCUUUUUUCCAGGUUGACCUCGGAUCAGGUAGGGAUACCCGCUGAACUUAAGCAUAUCAAUAAGCGGAGGA